AUACGGAGGAUGCGAGCGUUAUCCGGAUUUAUUGGGUUUAAAGGGAGCGUAGGUGGGAUAUUAAGUCAGCUGUGAAAGUUUGGGGCUCAACCUUAAAAUUGCAGUUGAUACUGGUUUCCUUGAGUACGGUAUAGGUGGGCGGAAUUCGUGGUGUAGCGGUGAAAUGCUUAGAUAUCACGAAGAACUCCGAUCGCGAAGGCAGCUCACCGGGCCGGAACUGACACUGAUGCUCGAAAGUGCGGGUAUCAAACAGGAUUAGAUACCCUGGUAGUCCGCGCAGUAAACGAUGAAUACUCGCUGUUUGCGAUACACUGUAAGCGGCCAAGCGAAAGCGUUAAGUAUUCCACCUGGGGAGUACGCCGGCAACGGUGAAACUCAAAUGAAUUGACGGGG
rnacentral:rRNA from 1 species